rnacentral:rRNA from 1 species
GUGAGGAAUAUUGGUCAAUGGGCGCAAGCCUGAACCAGCCAUGCCGCGUGCAGGAAGACGGUCCUAUGGAUUGUAAACUGCUUUUAUUUGGGAAUAAACUCCGGUACGUGUACCGGCCUGAAGGUACCAAAUGAAUAAGCACCGGCUAACUCCGUGCCAGCAGCCGCGGUAAUACGGAGGGUGCAAGCGUUAUCCGGAAUCAUUGGGUUUAAAGGGUCCGCAGGCGGUCUUAUAAGUCAGUGGUGAAAGCCUACAGCUCAACUGUAGAACGGCCAUUGAUACUGUAGGACUUGAAUUCGAUCGAAGUGGGCGGAAUGUGACAUGUAGCGGUGAAAUGCUUAGAUAUGUCACAGAACACCGAUAGCGAAGGCAGCUCACUAGGUCUGGAUUGACGCUCAGGGACGAAAGCGUGGGGAGCAAACAGGAUUAGAUACCCGGGUAGUCC